rnacentral:rRNA from 1 species
CACAUCCUGGGGCUGUAGCCGGUCCCAAGGGUAUGGCUGUUCGCCAUUUAAAGUGGUACGUGAGCUGGGUUUAAAACGUCGUGAGACAGUUUGGUCCCUAUCUGCCGUGGGCGCUGGAAGUUUGAGAGGGGCUGCUCCCAGUACGAGAGGACCGGAGUGGACGCACCGCUGGUGCACCGGUUGUGACGCCAGUCGCAUCGCCGGGUAGCCAAGUGCGGAAGAGAUAACCGCUGAAAGCAUCUAAGCGGGAAACUCGCCUCAAGAUGAGACUUCCCGGGGGGUCCGACCCCCCUGAAGGGUCGUCCGAGACCAGGACGUUGAUAGGCGGGGUGUGCAAGCGCGGCGACGCGUUGAGCUGACCCGUACUAAUGGCCCGUGAGGCUUGAUCCU